rnacentral:rRNA from 1 species
GAUGAACGCUGGCGGCGUGCCUAAUACAUGCAAGUCGAGCGAACAGACGAGGAGCUUGCUCCUUUGACGUUAGCGGCGGACGGGUGAGUAACACGUGGAUAACCUACCUAUAAGACUGGGAUAACUUCGGGAAACCGGAGCUAAUACCGGAUAACAUGUUGAACCGCAUGGUUCAACAGUGAAAGACGGUCUUGCUGUCACUUAUAGAUGGAUCCGCGCCGCAUUAGCUAGUUGGUAAGGUAACGGCUUACCAAGGCAACGAUGCGUAGCCGACCUGAGAGGGUGAUCGGCCACACUGGACCUGAGACACGGUCCAGACUCCUACGGGAGGCAGCAGUAGGGAAUCUUCCGCAAUGGGCGAAAGCCUGACGGAGCAACGCCGCGUGAGUGAAGAAGGUCUUCGGAUCGUAAAGCUCUGUUAUUAGGGAAGAACAAAUGUGUAAGUAACUAUGCACGUCUCGACGGUACCUAAUCAGAAAGCCACGGCUAACUACGUGCCAGCCGCCGCCGUAACAC